CUCUAAUUUUUUUCGAUUAUUCGGCGGCCGCUUGCGCCCAUAAUUCAUCCGUUGGCUCCUCGUAUUUUCCACCACGAUGUCAAAUAAAUUCCCAAAAUUUAUUUAAGCGCAUAAUUUGAAUUAUCACAACUAUUUCCCUUUUGUUAUGAAAAUUAUAUAUUCUGGACUUGGGAUAAAUUAUUCAUACUUCAAACUUAUUUCGGGAUUUAAUUAAAUAAUUUCGUCACGAUUAAUUAUCGGCCCAAAGAUUUAUUUAAAAGCCCCAAAGCUUAAUUAUUUCCCCACCUUAUAUCUGAAAUUAACAUUUAAAAGCCCAAACAAUUAAAUGGAGUCCAUCUUUAAUAAUUUACCCAAUUUAAAUUAGUGAGGCCCAAUUCCUACUGCCACCAUCUCCACGCCUCUCUCUCUUCUCUAUCUCCCGCCGCCUUCUCCAAAACUCGCGAGAGUCGUCGGUCAACUUCCAAUUCGCGAGAAAUCCGUCGCGUCGACCCUCUCGCCGGCGGUCAGCCUUCCGUCGCCUCUGAUUUAGACAGCAGCGGACCUAGCCGUGCGUCGCCGUCGCUGCUGUGCUGUCUCCUCGCCGGAGUCGCCGUCGCUGCUGCGCUGUCUCCUCGCCCGGUCACCUUUCGCCCGCCUCCGCCGCUGCGUUCCAGACUUAUCCAGCGACGAGGGAGAGUUUCUUCACCGCCGAUCAGUCACUGCGGAAUGCUGCCUCCGCUCUGACUUGCUGCAGCGCCGCCCUCGGUCAGACAUCGCCACCGGUUCGCACAGCUAUCCGAACUCGCCCCGAACAGUUCCGAAACGACCCCUAGCCAGCCCCGAUUGCUAACCCGAAAGAUCACGGAGAAGGAAAAUCUCAUCACGAGGAGGAAAAUCUCUGCACAAUCUUUGACCAAAACUUGAAUUAAUGCAUCUUGGUGACCAAGUCAAUAGGUCGGAAUUAAUUAGAUUAGUUUAAUUCACGGUUAUAUUUUAUUUAAAUUAUACAACCCAUAAUUUAUUUAUCAUGGACUGGAUUUUUUAUAUUAUUUA